AUUGAACGCUGGCGGCAUGCUUUACACAUGCAAGUCGAACGGCAGCGCGGGGCAACCUGGCGGCGAGUGGCGAACGGGUGAGUAAUAUAUCGGAACGUACCCAGAAGUGGGGGAUAACGUAGCGAAAGUUACGCUAAUACCGCAUACGAUCUACGGAUGAAAGUGGGGGACCUUCGGGCCUCAUGCUUGUGGAGCGGCCGAUAUCUGAUUAGCUAGUUGGUGAGGUAAAGGCUCACCAAGGCGACGAUCAGUAGCUGGUCUGAGAGGACGACCAGCCACACUGGGACUGAGACACGGCCCAGACUCCUACGGGAGGCAGCAGUGGGGAACUUUGGACAAUGGGCGCAAGCCUGAUCCAGCAAUGCCGCGUGAGUGAAGAAGGCCUUCGGGUUGUAAAGCUCUUUUGUCAGGGAAGAAACGGUUCGGGCUAAUAUCCUGGGCUAAUGACGGUACCUGAAGAAUAAGCACCGGCUAACUACGUGCCAGCAGCCGCCGCAGUAA
rnacentral:rRNA from 1 species